GAUAGGUUAAGUUAAUAAGGGCGCAUGGUGGAUGCCUUGGCACUAGAAGGCGAUGAAGGACGUGACUAACUACGAUAUGCCUCGGUUAGCUGUAAGUAAGCUUACCCGGGGGUUUCCGAAUGGGGCAACCCGAUCUUAAUGAUCAUCAUCUUUUUGAAUUCAUAGAUUAGAUGAAGCAAACGCUGUGAACUGAAACAUCUAAGUAGCAGUAGGAAAGUAAAGAAAUUUCGAUUCCGUCAGUAGCGGCGAGCGAACGCGGAAGAGCCCAAACCCGGAUGCUUGCAUCCAGGGGUUGUAGGACUGAUGUUGAGUUACAAAGGUAUAAGAUAGCAGAAACAGUUGGGAAGCUGUUCCAAAGAGGGUGACAGGCCCGUAUGCGAAAUCUUGUACUCUCUAAUCAGGAUCCUGAGUACGGCCCAGCACGUGAAAUUGGGUCGGAAUCUGGGAGGACCAUCUCCCAAGGCUAAAUACUAACUAGUGACCGAUAGCGAACAAGUACCGUGAGGGAAAGGUGAAAAGAACCCCGGAAGGGGAGUGAAAUAGUUCUUGAAACCGUGUGCUUACAAGAAGUUCGAGGCCGUUAAUGGCUGAGAGCGUGCUUUUUGUAGAAUGAACCGGAGAGUUACGAUUGCGUGCAAGGUUAAGGUGCAAAGACUGGAGCCGUAGCGAAAGCGAGUCUUAAUAGGGCGAAUCAGUACGUAGUUGUAGACCCGAAACCGAGUGACCUAUCCAUGGUCAGGUUGAAGGUGGGGUAAUAC
rnacentral:rRNA from 1 species